rnacentral:rRNA from 1 species
AUUGAACGCUGGCGGUAUGCCUUACACAUGCAAGCCGAACGGUAGAGGGGCAACCCUUGAGAGUGGCGAACGGGUGAGUAAUACAUCGGAACGUGCCCAGUCGUGGGGGAUAACUAGCGAAAGCUACGCUAGUACCGCAUACGACCUGAGGGUGAAAGCGGGGGAUCGCAAGACCUCGCGCGAUUGGAGCGGCCGAUGGCAGAUUAGGUAGUUGGUGGGGUAAAGGCCUACCAAGCCUGCGAUCUGUAGCUGGUCUGAGAGGACGACCAGCCAAACUGGGACUGGAACACGGCCCAGACUCCUACGGGAGGCAGCAGUGGGGAAUUUUGGACAAUGGGCGAAAGCCUGAUCCAGCCAUACCGCGUGCGGGAAGAAGGCCUUCGGGUUGUAAACCGCUUUUGUCAGGGAAGAAAUCUUCUGGGUUAAUACCUCGGGAGGAUGACGGUACCUGAAGAAUAAGCACCGGCUAACUACGUGCCAGCCGCCGCCGUAA